CGAAACCUAGUCUCGGUAGUGUGUAUGCUCUAUUUAUUAGGCUAAGGGAUGGUCUCUGGUCCAUGAUGGACUUGAGAUACUUAUCACGGUCAGGACUUGAUUUGGGUCAUGACACCCCAUUAUUUCUAAACCACCUCUAGCUGCCUUCCAGUCAAAAAAACAUACCAGUUCGUCGCCUCCAAAUCCCUCUCUUUCUCUCUUCUUAUUUCCUUGUGCCUAUGAAAACCAGUUACCAUCUGUUGUCAUCGUUGCCUUGCCAGAAGUAAAGAUCGGGGAGAUGACAUCUUUUUUCCGUUAUCACCUUUGACGAGAAAUAAAAUCCUAGUGCUUUGAUGGAAUCGUGAACAAGGGCUCCAGAUUCAACAAACCCACGACUCUACCAACGAUAACACUCUAUCACCAAUGAACUCUCCCAGCCAAUGCUACUAUUCUCCUCCCUGUUCUCUCGUUCAUUGCCUCUUUGUCAUCGCAUCCUCAUCGAAGUUCCAUGAAACCCACAAAGAUUAUUGCCUGAUUUUAUUUAUUUAUGCCUUAAAUUUCAAUUUUUGUUUGUUUUGCUUAUAAACUACCCGAAUCAAAUUCUUAGAUUUAAAAAUUAUGAUGCUUAGCUUUGAAUUUUGAUUCAAUUUCAUAUUUGUUAAUACCAUUAGAUUGAUAUAUGUUAAAAGCGCCAUUUUUUUUCAAUCUUGGCUAAACCAUAGUUUUUGAAUUGGAUACUAAUUUCAUUCAAUUUUUGAAAACCUUUGUUCUUACUUGUUGAUUGAUUGUUUCAAUUGGUGUUUUGCGAUCCUGGGCAGCCUGUUGCCAAAAUAUGAUCACUUGAAUGUUUAUUAUGCCAUUAUUUUUUUGGUGAAAGGGAAACUUCUAUCUAUAAACUAUGUAGCAGUAGGAUUAUAGUAGAGAUUGUAAUAUUGAGUUACCCAAAUUAGCUAGUCUAUUACAAACAUGAAAAAAAAACGUUUUACAAGUACUGUGUUCUUCUCUAUCUUGUUGAAAAAUAGUGAACACCCAUAGGGGAGGGUACAAAAACACUUGAAAAUUUGUUGCCACUAAGUUGUGUGCUCCUUGUUGAGACAAAACAUAUGCUACUUCAUUUCCCUCUCUAUUGUUAUGCCUAAGCAGUGGAUCUCCAACCUCGUUAACCAGUACCUGCAUUGAUCAAUUAAAUUAGUAUAAGGAGAUGAUUGUUCUGAAGAAGUUGCAGAACAUAAGUGGAUUCUGUUUCAAUUUCUAAUGGAAAACAGUGAUGCUCAAAGGCAAAAGUAAUGCCUUGAAAGAGAGCUUUAAGUUUCCACUUCAGAGGGGUUAAGGGCAUUUAUGGCUAGGUAUAAGCCUACCACCAUUUCUCCUUUAUCAUAUUGUAUGACUCCACCAAUGCCACCUUGAUGAGUAGAGGGUUUGAAAGUACCAUCUGUGUUAAGUUUGAAAAACCCAACCGGUGGGAGAACUAUUUGAUAAGGAUUUAUUUAAAAGGUAGGUAUAUCUAGGAAGGUGUUUAGAGUGUAGGUAUAGUUUAUCACUCAAGAGUUUAUAAAAUAAGGAGAGAUGAGGUUGUGCUAGUUAUGGUUAUAUUAUGGUUUCGAUUGAGCCAUGUAUGACACAAGGCAAAAGGGUAGAAAAUAUCCCAUUGGAGGAUAUGAUUUGGCAAGAGUAAUAUUUACUUUCGAAAUAGCAAUGAGCCAGAGUGGAUGGGAAUUGAAUUGAAAGAAGUUUGUGGGAUUUUGGCUACUGGAUAGGCGAAAAAGAUCUGGAAGGCAUCUUCAAUGCCGUUUCAGCAAAUAGGGCACUGGUUUGUAUCACUAACAUUGAUUUUAUGUAGAUAUUCCUUGCUGGGAGGCGAUUAUGGAGAGUUUGCCAAAGGAAGAAUUUGAUCUUUUGAAAAGUAUUAAGUUUCCAAAUUUAGUGAAAAUCUAUUAUGAAGGGAAUAAGAUUCCAAAGAAUUAUAUAAGUGGAAACAGUGGAAAAAAUACCAUGAUGAUUAAGGAAUAGAUGGG
rnacentral:lncRNA from 1 species